rnacentral:lncRNA from 1 species
AGUUACAGAAAGAACCCACUGCAGGGCGUCCAGUCACUUGCCCAGUGAAAAGACUGUAAUCAGACAACUUUAAUAAAGGGAGAGCAGGAGAGUGGUGACGAAUUUCCACAUUCCGAACAAGCUUGUCGAAAGAGGAGUGCAGGGAAGGAGCAAGAAUGAGGCACUGGAAGACGGUGAGCGGGGCCUUGCCACAGAAUCCCGGGCCCACCUGCUUUCUCACAGUCGCGACAGCCGGCCCGGAGAAGGGCAGCCCAGCGAAGGGCACGCCCCGCGCGGGUGCCAGGGAGGCCGGCAGGGGCGUCCGCGGUCGCUGCUCACCUGCGCUCCCCGCUGCCCGGCCCAGCCCGCCUCGCCACCGAGUCUGGAAGCCCACACUCACCCCUUUACCCGGGAAACGCGGCCGGAGCCGGCGGCGGGUCGGGAGUCCGAGAUGGUAGAUCCCCCUCCAGGCGCCUCGCUGACAUUUUGUCCCGGACGGAAAACCUCCGCGCGUGCCCCUUAAAGACACAGCGCUGCAUUCACACGUCUGCGGGGAAAGGGGGGCCGUCACGUGUGGCCUUCGCCCGAAAGCGGUAGGGGAGUCGCUCUGAAACCGCCAAGGAUCGCGAGCGACAGAUUUGUGUUGGCCAGGGUUUUAAGAUGACGCAAUAGCUGAGUGUGGUUGAAAUGUAACUAUUGUUUUACAACUUUGCAUUAACCUUCCAAGACCUGAAUUCCCGGGCCUGAGUCUCAGAGCGCGGUUUGCAUCUUUGCAGGCUGUAGGCGCAUGAUGUCACAAGUUAUUGGAAGAAAUCCCUCCAACCUAGGUUGGGACAGAUGAAGGCGGCGCUUAUUGGUGUUCACCAAAACACCAGCAUGGUGUACCAGCUUUGGCUAGAUGAUGCUCAGAACACCAGAGACUGGG